rnacentral:piRNA from 1 species
UAAAAGAUUUGGCCUCUCCUGCCCC